GUGGGGAAUAUUGGACAAUGGGCGCAAGCCUGAUCCAGCAAUGCCGCGUGGGUGAAGAAGGCCUUCGGGUUGUAAAGCCCUUUUGUACGGGAAGAAAUCAUACGGGUUAAUACCCUGGGUGGAUGACGGUACCGUAAGAAUAAGCACCGGCUAACUUCGUGCCAGCAGCCGCGGUAAUACGAAGGGUGCAAGCGUUAAUCGGAAUUACUGGGCGUAAAGCGUGCGUAGGUGGUUGUUCAAGUCUGUCGUGAAAGCCCUGGGCUCAACCUGGGAAUGGCGAUGGAAACUGGGCGACUAGAGUGCGGUAGAGGAUGGCGGAAUUCCCGGUGUAGCGGUGAAAUGCGUAGAGAUCGGGAGGAACAUCCGUGGCGAAGGCGGCCAUCUGGACCAGCACUGACACUGAGGCACGAAAGCGUGGGGAGCAAACAGGAUUAGAUACCCUGGUAGUCC
rnacentral:rRNA from 1 species